rnacentral:tRNA from 1 species
GCUGUAAUAGUUUAGUGGUAGAACGCUUCCGUGGUAAGGAAGAGAAAGGAGUUCAAUUCUCUUUUAUAGCA